rnacentral:rRNA from 1 species
AUUGAACGCUGGCGGCAGGCCUAACACAUGCAAGUCGAGCGGAUGAAGGGAGCUUGCUCCUGGAUUCAGCGGCGGACGGGUGAGUAAUGCCUAGGAAUCUGCCUGGUAGUGGGGGAUAACGUCCGGAAACGGGCGCUAAUACCGCAUACGUCCUGAGGGAGAAAGUGGGGGAUCUUCGGACCUCACGCUAUCAGAUGAGCCUAGGUCGGAUUAGCUAGUUGGUGGGGUAAAGGCCUACCAAGGCGCCGAUCCUUAACUGGUCUGAGAGGAUGAUCAGUCACACUGGAACUGAGACACGGUCCAGACUCCUACGGGAAGCAGCAGUGGGGAAUAUUGGACGAUGGGCGAAAGCCUGAUCCAGCCAUGCCGCGUGUGUGAAGAAGGUCUUCGGAUUGUAAAGCACUUUAAGUUGUGAGGAAGGGCAGUAAGUUAAUACCUUGCUGUUUUGACGUUACCAACAGAAUAAGCACCGGCUAACUUCGUG